UACGGAGGGUGCAAGCGUUGUCCGGAUUUAUUGGGUUUAAAGGGUGCGUAGGCGGUUCUUUAAGUCAGUGGUGAAAUACUGCAGCUCAACUGUAGCAUUGCCAUUGAUACUGAAGAACUUGAGUACAGAUGAGGUAGGCGGAAUUUAUGGUGUAGCGGUGAAAUGCAUAGAUAUCAAGAGGAACACCUGAGGUGAAGACGGGUUGCUAGGCUGACACUGACGCUGAGGCGCGAAAGCCAGGGGAGCAAACGGG
rnacentral:rRNA from 1 species